rnacentral:rRNA from 1 species
CCUACGGGGGGCAGCAGUGGGGAAUAUUGCACAAUGGGGGAAACCCUGAUGCAGCAACGCCGCGUGAGUGAGGAAGUAUUUCGGUAUGUAAAGCUCUAUCAGCAGGGAAUAGAAAAGAAGGUACCUGAAAAAGAAGCCCCGGCUAACUACGUGCCAGCAGCCGCGGUAAUACGUAGGGGGCAAGCGUUAUCCGGAUUUACUGGGUGUAAAGGGAGCGUAGACGGAAAGGCAAGUCAGAAGUGAAAACCCAAGGCUCAACCAUGGGACUGCUUUUGAAACUGUCAAACUAGAGUACGGGAGAGGUA